rnacentral:lncRNA from 1 species
UUUUUGUAUGGCACCGCCAUGACCCUCUUUUGGGCUUGAUCGGCUUUUAAGCCUUGUGUAGGUUCAUAUGCGGUUCAAUGUAGUGCGAGGGUGUAGUUAAUUUUAGAGUAUUGUCAUGGCCAAUUUCCUAGUCAUUCACAUUAUGCUAAAGAAAGGAAGUGAGGUCUCCCUGAAACUUCAGUUUAGUUGGAGUUCAUAUGAGCGGAUUUGAAUACGGAGCACUUGGGAUUGUUUCAAUCAUA